CAGAGCAUCAAGGGCACGGCCGGAAACUCACCUUUGGCUUUGGAUGAGCUUCUCGAACCCAUGACAAAACAAGACAUCGCUGUAGCCUCUGGCCCUGUACCGUCUCUUCCCUCACAGGACAGGUUACUCCGACCCUUCACUGACAAAACCUUAAGAGUCAGAUCGACUACCCUAACAGCUACGAUUUUUGGUAUCUGAAACCUGAAAAAUCAAGAAGAAGAUCGUCUUUAAUGACGAUAAGAGAUGUAGCCGAAGCAGCAAUCGAAGGCCGAUUUGACGAAGAAGCAGAAGAUCGUAGAGGAAAAGUCCUUCGGGCUCAAGAACAAAAGCAAGAGCAAGAAUGUCCAGAAGUACGUCCAGAGCCUCAAGCAGUCGGUACAGCCCAAGCCUGAUCCUACCAAGUCGGCUGCCAAGAAGGAGGAGGAAGGGAAGGCCCAAGAUAAGGAAUUGGAUGAUUUGUUCAAGAUAGCUGUCAGUCAGCCCAAAGUGCCUGUUGAGGAAGGGGGAAAAGAUUGAUCUUUACAGUGAUAAGAGUGACCAAGAAACAAUGGAGGACUGGGAUCAACAGACUUUGGAGAAGAUUGUUGAAUCAAAGAAAACUGAGUAUAAGCAGAACAAGCCAACUGAUAUUGCUCAAUCUCAUGCCAGAGAUGUUCUGGUUGCUUCCACUGAGCUUGCAUUAACAGGUCCGUUGUGAUUCAUCAAGCACGAAAGUGAACAAGCAAUUCUGGCAAUGGUUGUUACUUGGUAGAAAUAAAGGAUUAAUGCUCUUUGACAUGAGAAAGCAUCACUUUUUAAAGCAUGGAAGUGACAAAAACAACUUUGGCCAUUGAAUACUUUGAGAGUGAAUUUUUCUAGAAAUUAAAAGCUGAUAUUCUCUCUAUGUUUUAAUAUUUUCUUUGGUGGGCUGCAUGGGUUGAGUUAGUGUAACACAUUCAUUUUAAUUCUCUAGUUCUUGUCUAGUAGUUAGCCUAUACAAUGAGAAGCUGCAAAUAGUUUUAAUAGUUCCAAAAAGUAAUU